AUGAUAACUGUGAAGCAUAUGAAGGAUGGCAAAUACUCAGUAUCACAUUUUCAUGAAGAACACACCCAUGAUUUUGUCACACCUAGGAAGCAACAUUUAAUCAAGUCUAACAGAAAAGUCAGUGAGAAGGCCAAGGGCACACUAUUCAGAUGUCACGCAGCUAGCAUUGGUACAUCAGGGGCGUUUCGGUUGCUUCGUGUUGGUGAGGGUGGAUUUGAGUUCGUGGGGUGCACAAAAAGAGACCUGCAAAAUUAUCAUCGUGACAUGAGAAGUACUUUCAAGGAUUCAGAUGCUCAAAUGUUCAUUGACAACCUCAGGAAGAGGAAGAAAAUCAACCCGGGGUUCUUCUUCGAGUAUGUUCUUGAUGAUAAAAACUGUCUGACACAUGUAUUUUGGGCUGAUGCUUUUUGUAGAAAGAAUUAUGCUUUGUUUGGAGAAAUGGUGUCCUUCGACUCUACAUAUAGCACCAACCAGUACAACAUGAUUUUUUGCCCAUUCACAGGAAUAAACCACCACAUGGGAUCUGUUUUUUAUGGUGCCGCCUUGAUUGCAGAUGAGAAGAUAGAGUCAUAUGAAUGGGUAUUUCAAACGUUCUUGAAAGCAAUGGAUGGGGCAGCACCAAGGCUUAUAGUAACUGAUGAAGACCAAAGCAUGAAGGUUGCAAUUGAACAGAUAAUGCCAAACACUAUCCAUAGGUUAUACAUGUGGCACAUAAUGAGAAAGCUUCCAGAAAAGGUUGGCCCUCCAUUGAGAGAGGAUGAACAUUUCUAUAGUACAAUUAACUCAUGUGUAUGGGGCUCUGAAAACCCAGCUGAAUUUGAGGCAAAAUGGUCUUCAUUGAUUUCUGAAUUUGGGCUUGAGGAAAACACAUGGUUUGCCAGGAGAUACGAACUUCGUGAAUCAUGGAUACCAGCCUACUUCAGAGGUGUGUUUUUGGGUGAGACACUAAGAACCACUUCAAGGUCAGAGAGUGCUAACUCACCUUUCAAUCACUUUAUUGGCUACAAACAUGCUUUGGUGGAGUUUUGGAUUAGGAUUGGUACAGCCCUAGAAGAACAACGUCAGAAUGAACUCAAGGCUGACCAUGAGUGCCUCAAUUCUAUGCCUCCAUUGAUUACAUCUUGGGAGAUUGAGAAGCAUACUAGUCUGGUCUUCACCGAUGAGGUUUUCAAAUAUCUUCAAAAGGAGGUGCGUGCAGCAAGAGAUCAUUGCUUGAUUGAAAUCAUAUCAUAG
rnacentral:rRNA from 1 species